rnacentral:rRNA from 1 species
GACGAACGCUGGCGGCGUGCUUAACACAUGCAAGUCGAACGGUAAGGCCCUUCGGGGUACACGAGUGGCGAACGGGUGAGUAACACGUGGGUGAUCUGCCCUGCACUUCGGGAUAAGCCUGGGAAACUGGGUCUAAUACCGGAUAGGACCACUGCCUGCAUGGGUGGUGGUGGAAAGCUUUUGCGGUGUGGGAUGGGCCCGCGGCCUAUCAGCUUGUUGGUGGGGUGAUGGCCUACCAAGGCGACGACGGGUAGCCGGCCUGAGAGGGUGACCGGCCACACUGGGACUGAGAUACGGCCCAGACUCCUACGGGGAGCAGCAGUGGGGAAUAUUGCACAAUGGGUGCAAGCCUGAUGCAGCGACGCCGCGUGAGGGAUGACGGCCUUCGGGUUGUAAACCUCUUUCAGCACCGACGAAGCGCAAGUGACGGUAGGUGCAGAAGAAGGACCGGCCAACUACGUGCCAGCCGCCGCGGUAA